rnacentral:misc_RNA from 1 species
GAAUUAUUGAAUCUAAUAAAAAACGAACCCUCGCGAGCUCUGGGAUCGAUCCGGCCAAGACAAUUGACAAAUAUCUCAAGUCAAAGAUUAACAGAUUUAUGUGGGUGUUAUUUCGGUUUAAGACUGCUGGCGGUGUACCAUGAUGGAGCAGCUGGCCUCCCAGCUAGCCGACAGCCGGCUGGCGAGCGGUGCCGAGCCUGACGAGCCGCUUCACACACCCCGACUGGCGCAGUACAAGAACGCCGGCCGGGUGUCCAUCAGCCAGCAGUGCCGGCGCAGCCAGCUGCUGCAGCGCCAGAAACGCGAACGGGAUGGUCGCUUGGAUCGUCUGCGGGCCAUCACGGCGGACGAUGACGAGGGGGCGCUGGACGCUGCCGCACUGCCCCCCGCCUUCAGCUACAGAAAACAGGGCUUCUAUCAGUCGCAGUACUCGAACCAGCUGAUGUUCUCCGAGUGGAUGGAGACGGUGCCGGCCGACCUGCACACUGACUGGCUGCUCAAGAUGUGUCCUCCGGGUAAACGGUGCCUGGUCGUGGCCAAACGGCGGUGCACGCGCUCGUACAGCGCCUCCGGCGCGCUGCUGCGCACGUUCCCGUCUCGGCUGCCGGCCGGCUGGCGCGGCCCACUCGGCCAGCGGCCCACGGUGCUCGACUGUAUCUGGGACCAGGCGGCCGGCACGUUCCACGUGCUGGACCUGCUCGCCUGGAACGGCCACCAGGUGUUCGAAUGCGAGGCAGAGUUCCGCUUCACGUGGCUGCAGACGAAGCUGUCAGAGACGCCGGAGGUGGGGGUCGCCUCGCGCAGCAACCCGUACCGCUUCGUGGCGAUCAGCCACACGGCGUGCGGGCCUGCCGAGCUGGCGGCCACCGCCGCCGCCGCCGCCGACGGGGCGCUGUUCUUCCACCGCGCGGCGCACUACUGGCCGGGCGUGUCGCCGCUGGUGCUGUGGCUGAAGCCGUUCAUGCUGCCGGAGACGCUGGGCGUGCCGCGCACGGCCGCAGAGCUGGGCGCGCCACCCGACUAUGCUGGCCGCCAGCGCUACAUCGACCGCUGGCAGGCCAGCCGCCACCGCAAACCCGAAGGCCGCACACGGCAGGUCCAGAUGGAGUCCUGAAUAUGCUAGCAUGGCAUUAAGGCGAGGUUUUUGCUGUGUGUCUCUUCUCCGGACUCCAACACGACAGCCUCCAGUGCGACAGCCUCCAGCACCACUGUUGACACCGGCGGCCGCAUGGCUGUGCCGCGACGGCUUCGGUUAAGCAGAGUCUGCUAGGAGAGGUGACCUCCACGCGGCACACGGUCUUUCGUGUACACUGUCUGGCAAUGCAGCUGCGAGAAGCUGUGCAAUGUGCAUUGCGACGCAAUAUAUGUCAUGUGCAAUCAAAAAUGAAAUAAAAAGAUUCACUCUUAUCCGCCUUUUUUGAGGUAAAUUUCCCCUCUGACACCCAAGCCAAGCUACAAUUUUGGGACACUGGUCUUCAUUGGGAAAAGUUACUGUGAGUUCAAAAUUUGAUGAAAUGACUGCUGCAGGAUUAUGGUUUCUUGGAGUCCUCUCAUGGAAGUUUUCUGACACCAUUUGUUGGCCACCACAGACACUUCUCAAAGGCAAAUAGCUCUGGACAUUAGGUUAAUUGUCAAAUUUUGAAGGUUCUACUGAGUAUCCAGGAUCAAGAUGGU